UACAGAGGUCUCAAGCGUUGUUCGGAUUCAUUGGGCGUAAAGGGUGCGUAGGCGGCGCGGUAAGUCGGGUGUGAAAUUCACGGGCUUAACUCCGAAACUGCAUUCGAUACUGCCGUGCUUGAGGACUGGAGAGGAGACUGGAAUUUACGGUGUAGCGGUGAAAUGCGUAGAUAUCGUAAGGAAGACCAGUGGCGAAGGCGGGUCUCUGGACAGUUCCUGACGCUGAGGCACGAAGGUCAGGGGAGCAAACGGG
rnacentral:rRNA from 1 species